rnacentral:rRNA from 1 species
AGAGUUUGAUCCUGGCUCAGGAUGAACGCUAGCUACAGGCUUAACACAUGCAAGUCGAGGGGAAACGACAUCGAAAGCUUGCUUUUGAUGGGCGUCGACCGGCGCACGGGUGGGUAACGCGUAUCCAACCUGCCCACCACUUGGGGAUAACCUUGCGAAAGUAAGACUAAUACCCAAUGACGUCUCUAGAAGACAUCUGAAAGGGAUUAAAGAUUUAUCGGUGAUGGAUGGGGAUGCGUCUGAUUAGCUUGUUGGCGGGGUAACGGCCACCAAGGCUACGAUCAGUAGGGGUUCUGAGAGGAAGGUCCCCCANAUUGGAACUGAGACACGGUCAAACUCCUACGGAGGCA